CUAACAAUAGCCCAACAAUCAACAAUUAUAAUAAACCUAAACAGAUCUAAAACAAAACAUUUAAUCUAUAUUAAAAGUAUAGGCGAUAGAAAUUUAAAUCGGCGCUAUAGAGACAGUACCGUAAGGGAACCAUGAAAGAAUAAACAAAAGUACAAAAAAGCAAAGAUUAUAUCUUCUACCUUUUGCAUAAUGAUUUAACUAGACUAACAUUAGCAAAAAGAAUUUAAGUUAGUAACCCCGAAACCAGACGAGCUAUCUAUAAGCAGCCCUGAAGAGCAAACUCGUCUAUGUGGCAAAAUAGUGAGAAGACUUAUAGAUAGAGGUGAAAAGCCUACCGAGCCUGGUGAUAGCUGGUUAUCCAGAAAAAGAAUCUCAGUUCUAAUUUAAGUCUACCAAAAAAAUUAAUAAUUAUAAUGUAGACUUAAAAGAUAGUCCAAAAAGGUACAGCUUUUUGGACACAGGAGACAACCUUAAUUAGAGAGUAACAACAGGACUCACCAUAGUUGGCCUAAAAGCAGCCAUCAAUUAAUAAGCGUCUAAGCUCAACAAUAUGGUAUAUUCUAAUCCCAAUAAUAAAUAUUCAACUCCUAAACUUAAUACUGGAUUAUUCUAUUUACAAAUAGAAGCAAUACUGUUAAUAUAAGUAAUAAGAAUUAAAUUCUCCCUGCAUAAGUGUAUAUCAGAACGAAUAAAUCACUGAUGGUUAACAGACCAUACUAUAACCAACAAAUAAAACCCCUAUACAACACACUGUUAGACCAACACAGGAAUGCUCUACGGGAAAGAUUAAAAAAAGUAAAAGGAACUCGGCAAACAUAAACCUCGCCUGUUUACCAAAAACAUCACCUCUAGCAUUUACAGUAUUAGAGGCACUGCCUGCCCAGUGACAUUAGUUUAACGGCCGCGGUAUCCUGACCGUGCAAAGGUAGCAUAAUCACUUGUUCUCUAAAUAAGGACUAGUAUGAAUGGCCACACGAAGGUUUCACUGUCUCUUACUUUCAAUCAAUGAAAUUGACCUUCCCGUGAAGAGGCGGGAAUAAGAUAAUAAGACGAGAAGACCCUAUGGAGCUUUAAUUAACUGACCUACGAGAAAUAACUCUAUAAACCACAGGAAACAACACACUUUCUCACAUAGAUCAACAAUUUAGGUUGGGGUGACCUCGGAAUACAAAACAACUUCCGAGUGAUUUAAGCCCAGACUCACAAGUCAAAGCAAUAAAAUCACUUAUUGAUCCAAAACUUUUGAUCAACGGAACAAGUUACCCUAGGGAUAACAGCGCAAUCCUAUUUAAGAGUCCCUAUCGACAAUAGGGUUUACGACCUCGAUGUUGGAUCAGGACAUCCUAAUGGUGCAGCCGCUAUUAACGGUUCGUUUGUUCAACGAUUAAAGUCCUACGUGAUCUGAGUUCAGACCGGAGUAAUCCAGGUCGGUUUCUAUCUAUUAUAUAUAUUUCUCCCAGUACGAAAGGACAAGAGAAAUAAGGCCUACUUCAAAAACAAGCGCCUUAACCUUUAAUAGAUGACAUAAUCUUAAUCUAUAAUUUAUAUUAAUGCAUCUGUCCUAGACUAGGGCUC
rnacentral:rRNA from 1 species